GGGUUNAAGCUUCAACAUGCAGUCCCAUUUAUCAGUAGGUGAGGAUUCCUUGGUUCCGUUAGAUGACCCAGCCUCUUUUCGAAGUUUAGCAAAGGAUUUCCAAGCGUCCUGAACAUUUUGAACGGAUAUUUCUACUUCUCCUAAAAUGCGCUUCACCAGCGCGAACAGAACGUCCAAACAGUGGACUUUGUCCCCGUAUAAUACAGGUAGGUCCAAGGCCCCGAUUUUGACCUAAAAUAGUUUUUGAAUGAAAAACUUAAAAAUGUCAUAUAAUGAAUUAAUGAUUGCAACUCUUUUAUUCGUGCGUGGCGGGGAAACAUUAGUCGCUUUAAAACAGAUGUUCUCUUUCACACACCUCGUGCAUGAAAUUUAUUAGUUUUUUUAUAUACUGAAAUAACUGAAUGAGAGUUGCGGCUUUGUUUUGUGUUUUUUGUCUUUUUAUACUAUAUGUUUAAUAAAUCACACCUACAGACCUGA